rnacentral:sRNA from 1 species
GCUGGGUGUAGUGGCACAUGCCUGUAAUCCCAGCAACUCAGGAGGCUGAGGCAGGAGACUCCAAAGUUUAAGGGCAGCCUCAGCAACUUAGAAAGACCCUGUCUCAA